GGGCUCCUCUACGCUCAUUAGUUUAAGUCUGAUGCCCUGUUCUUGCGGCGUGGGAUGAUCGAUUGGUACCUCCUGUCUUGCCUUUUUUGUGACGCGAUCUCGCAGCAAAGAUGAUUUCGAUGGCGAGGAGGUAUGGGCAGGAGCGAGUUUGGUUUUCUCCCCCGUGGAAGUGCCCUUGUUCUUGCCCAGGAACGGUGAUGAUUCGACAAAAAAUCAGCGCAAUCCAAGUCUUGUGAGUUUGAUGAUCGUGGUCUUCGCAUCAAGCGAUAGCCGAUACGUUGACACCACUGAGAGCUUGCGACGAUUUGGCUGAGAAAAGGCGAAUCUGAGUUCUUCUCUCUUUGAUUUAGCUAGGGCAGGCGAUCUCCUUAAGUGGGAGAACUUUCUCAGUGUUCUUCGUGCUUUGCGUCUCGCCUAGAGUUUACAUUACAGAUUCUCCCUCUCCCCUUACCGAAAUGCUUACUUAUUUUCUUCCAUUGGUGAGGUCAAGGGGUGCCUUUACUGUAACAUUUUCAUGCGCUUUUCUUUAUGUUUUCACUAAUUCUACAACCAUAGAACGUUUUGGACGAAGUGGGCGAACUUUUUAAUGGUGUAGAAUAAGCAGCACAAUGGCCUGGACUGCUGCUCCCACAAUGAUCACCAUGAGAUGUCUACAAACAGCCAACCUUCAGCGUGUAAUAAGGUCCAGAAAAUAGAACAAAAGAGCCUGUGUUCAUCCAUCUUAUAUCCAUCUUAUCUUACAUUUUGAUUUAAAAUCUAGUCUCAAGAGAUCUUUUGUUAGUCGAGAAACGAAGUAAAAACGAAAUUGAAGGCAUAUAGCUUAGCCUCUUCGGAGGAGCUUCCA